CAUCUCUGUUUGUCCAACCAAGUUUUAGCACUGAACUUGAGACAGAGACUUUGGAUUCUACAGAUUCUUGCUACCGAAAUUACAUACGCAUAAUGUCUCCUGAGGUGUAUAUAUCUGAUGAAGAUGAUGAUCUGCAAGAAGCCAUAAACAGAUCUCUUCUAGAAUCAAACACAUUUUAAGCUGAUGAAAACACAUCUUUGGAAGCCAUUUUGCAUUCACUUUCUAAAAGCUUGAACCGGGAGGAAGUUGUUCGCAUCCGUACAGUGCGUAAAAAUGUUUGGGAUGAAACCAGGCGGGCAAUGGCCAGAGCUAACUUUUCCCCUUAUAAAAGAAUUGAUGUCAAAUUUACAGAUGACCUUGGUGUUUCUGAAGGAGCAGUGGAUCUAGGAGGGCCUAAAAGAGAAUUUUUCUGACUUGUUCUUUUGUAUUUGAAAGAAGAAAGUGGUAUUUUUGAGGGGCCCGAUGAAGCAAAGAUUUUAAGUUGCAACA